rnacentral:misc_RNA from 1 species
AGCAGCCGCGGUAAUUCCAGCUCCAAUAGCGUAUAUUAAAGUUGCUGCAGUUAAAAGCUCGUAGUUGAAUUUCGGGAUCAAUAUGUUGGUCGUGCCUCGGUACGUACUAGCUUAUUGGUUUCUCCCUUCUGACGAACCAUGAUGUCAUUUAUUUGGUGUUAUGAGGAAUCAGGACUGUUACUUUGAAAAAUUAGAGUGUUUAAAGCAGGCUCACGCUUGAAUACAUUAGCAUGGAAUAAUGAAAUAGGACGUUUGAUUCUAUUUUGUUGGUUUCUAGGAUCGACGUAAUGAUUAAUAGGGAUAGUUGGGGGCAUUAGUAUUCAAUUGUCAGAGGUGAAAUUCUUGGAUUUAUUGAAGACUAACUACUGCGAAAGCAUUUGCCAAGGAUGUUUUCAUUAAUCAAGAACGAAAGUUAGGGAUCGAAGACGAUCAGAUACCGUCGUAGUCUUAACCAUAAACUAUGCCGACUAGGGAUCGGAUGAUGUUAAUUUUUAAUGACUCAUUCGGCG